rnacentral:rRNA from 1 species
CCCAGACAGCCAGGAUGUUGGCUUAGAAGCAGCCAUCAUUUAAAGAAAGCGUAAUAGCUCACUGGUCGAGUCGGCCUGCGCGGAAGAUGUAACGGGGCUAAACCAUGCACCGAAGCUGCGGCAGCGACGCUUAUGCGUUGUUGGGUAGGGGAGCGUUCUGUAAGCCUGUGAAGGUGGCCUGUGAGGGUGGCUGGAGGUAUCAGAAGUGCGAAUGCUGACAUAAGUAACGAUAAAGCGGGUGAAAAGCCCGCUCGCCGGAAGACCAAGGGUUCCUGUCCAACGUUAAUCGGGGCA